AACGAACGCUGGCGGCAGGCUUAACACAUGCAAGUCGAACGCCCCGCAAGGGGAGUGGCAGACGGGUGAGUAACACGUGGGAACGUACCCUUCGGUUCGGAAUAACACAGAGAAAUUUGUGCUAAUACCGGAUACGUCUGAGAGGAGAAAGAUUUAUCGCCGAAGGAUCGGCCCGCGUCUGAUUAGCUAGUUGGUGAGGUAAUGGCUCACCAAGGCGACGAUCAGUAGCUGGUCUGAGAGGAUGAUCAGCCACACUGGGACUGAGACACGGCCCAGACUCCUACGGGAGGCAGCAGUGGGGAAUAUUGGACAAUGGGCGAAAGCCUGAUCCAGCCAUGCCGCGUGAGUGAUGAAGGCCCUAGGGUUGUAAAGCUCUUUUACCUGGGAAGAUAAUGACUGUACCAGGAGAAUAAGCCCCGGCUAACUUCGUGCCAGCCGCCGCCGUAAAAC
rnacentral:rRNA from 1 species